AUUGGAUGUGAUAGUGAAGGAUUGGACUGGUUCAAUAGAGAUGUGCAACCCAAACGACUCCAAUCUGAUCAGGCAGGAUGCGGUUAACUACAUUGUUAGCGUGCAGACGCUCGAAAUCUACGCUAAAGCAGUUUUCUACCAGGGUUCACCAAAAAAUCCAGGAAACGGAGGCGAUGAUUGGAUGUACACUGAGAGCUAACACUCGUGAUGUUCCGUCCGUUCCGGCGCAUACUCCAUAUACGUUUUUAUAUCAUUUUCCGAAGAAAUUUCAACUUGAGCAUGCAUUGAGGUCUUGGAACGUUUGUUUCACGAUAAAUGGCUUUUUUAAAUCAUCUAAAACUCGUGUGCUGAUUGGACUCGGGUGACCUCCGGAAGGCUAAUCUUCGAAAUUGGUGAUUUUGCGCCCCUCUCACAUUCAGAUGCGAGAGAAAAGUCAGAAGCAGCUCGGAAUGGGAGUGAACAUACCCCACAUCAGAAAGGAUGG